UCAGAAUUCUCACACCAACUAACUAGAAAUAGCAAUAUCUCAAAUAGUGCCAUCUCAAUACUCAAACUGUAACUAUUAUUAUUAGCAAACUCCACCAAUGUGAAAUAUUGAUCUCACUGACCUCUAAAGUCCAUGACAGGCACUCAGAGUAUCUCUUUCUAACCUUCAAUAGUCCACUUCGAUUGACCAAUGAUCUAAGGGUGGAAGUGGUGCUAAAAUUAGCCCGAGUACCCAACCCC
rnacentral:lncRNA from 1 species